rnacentral:rRNA from 1 species
GAUGAACGCUGGCGGCGUGCCUAAUACAUGCAAGUCGAGCGAACGGACGAGAAGCUUGCUUUUCUGAUGUUAGCGGCGGACGGGUGAGUAACACGUGGAUAACCUACCUAUAAGACUGGGAUAACUUCGGGAAACCGGAGCUAAUACCGGAUAAUAUUUUGAACCGCAUGGUUCAAAAGUGAAAGACGGUCUUGCUGUCACUUAUAGAUGGAUCCGCGCUGCAUUAGCUAGUUGGUAAGGUAACGGCUUACCAAGGCAACGAUGCAUAGCCGACCUGAGAGGGUGAUCGGCCACCCUGGAACUGAGACCCGGUCCAGGCUCCUACGGGAGGCAGCAGUAGGGAAUCUUCCGCAAUGGGCGAAAGCCUGACGGAGCAACGCCGCGUGAGUGAUGAAGGUCUUCGGAUCGUAAAACUCUGUUAUUAGGGAAGAACAUAUGUGUAAGUAACUGUGCACAUCUUGACGGUACCUAAUCAGAAAGCCACGGCUAACUACGUG